AUAAAUUAAAAUACAAAUUUAAUUAAUGAUCUGAGAAAAAACAAUAAGAAGAUAAGUAUUUUAGUGAGAGCGAAAAUCAUAAAAAAGAGAGGUAUUUUGGAAUACCUCAUUUUUCUCUUCUUCCUCUCUUCUUCUCUCUCUCUGCUGGUUUCGAACCGAAGACUCGUUGCUUGGGAAAUGCAUUCCAAACCAUCAAAUCGUUCGGGAAACCGGC
rnacentral:lncRNA from 1 species